UACGUAGGGGGCUAGCGUUGUCCGGAUUUAUUGGGCGUAAAGAGCGUGUAGGCGGCCAGGUAGGUCUGCUGUGAAAACUCGAGGCUUAACCUCGAGAUGUCGGCGGAAACCAUCUGGCUUGAGUCCGGAAGAGGAGAGUGGAAUUCCUGGUGUAGCGGUGAAAUGCGUAGAUAUCUGGAGGAGCACCAGUGGCGAAAGCGCGUGACUGGGCCAUAACUGACGCUGAGGAACGAAAGCCAGGGUAGCGAAAGGG
rnacentral:rRNA from 1 species